rnacentral:rRNA from 1 species
GACGAACGCUGGCGGCGUGCCUAAUACAUGCAAGUAGAACGCUGAAGGAGGAGCUUGCUUCUCUGGAUGAGUUGCGAACGGGUGAGUAACGCGUAGGUAACCUGCCUGGUAGCGGGGGAUAACUAUUGGAAACGAUAGCUAAUACCGCAUAAGAGUAGAUGUUGCAUGACAUUUGCUUAAAAGGUGCUAUUGCAUCACUACCAGAUGGACCUGCGUUGUAUUAGCUAGUUGGUGGGGUAACGGCUCACCAAGGCGACGAUACAUAGCCGACCUGAGAGGGUGAUCGGCCACACUGGGACUGAGACACGGCCCAGACUCCUACGGGAGGCAGCAGUAGGGAAUCUUCGGCAAUGGACGGAAGUCUGACCGAGCAACGCCGCGUGAGUGAAGAAGGUUUUCGGAUCGUAAAGCUCUGUUGUAAGAGAAGAACGAGUGUGAGAGUGGAAAGUUCACACUGUGACGGUAUCUUACCAGAAAGAGACGGCUAACUACGUG